GAUGAACGCUAGCGGCGGGCUUAAUACAUGCAAGUCGAGGGGUAACAGGUCUGUAGCAAUACAGAUGCUGACGACCGGCAAACGGGUGCGGAACACGUACAGAACCUUCCUUCGAGUGGGAGAUAGCCCAGGGAAACUUGGAGUAAUAUCCCAUAGGAUCAUAGAGUGGCAUCACUUAGUGAUUAAAGAUUUAUCGCUUGAAGAUGGCUGUGCGGCUGAUUAGGUAGUUGGUGUAGGUAACGGCUCACCAAGCCUUCGAUCAGUAACUGGUGUGAGAGCACGACCAGUCGCACGGGCACUGAGACACGGGCCCGACUCCUACGGGAGGCAGCAGUAAGGAAUAUUGGGCAAUGGGGGCAACUCUGACCCAGCCAUGCCGCGUGGAGGAUGAAGGUCCUCUGGAUUGUAAACUUCUUUUAUUUGGGAAGAAAUGCCGAUUUUCUAAUUGGUUUGACGGUACCAGAUGAAUAAGCACCGGCUAACUCCGUGCCAGCCGCCGCGGUAAGAC
rnacentral:rRNA from 1 species